CCUACGGGUGGCAGCAGUGGGGAAUAUUGCGCAAUGGGCGAAAGCCUGACGCCGCGACGCCGCGUGAGGGAUGCAGGUCUUCGGAUCGUAAACCUCUGUCAGCAGGGAAGAACGGUCACUGUGCUAAUCAGCAGUGAAUUGACGGUACCUGCACAGGAAGCACCGGCUAACUCCGUGCCAGCAGCCGCGGUAAUACGGAGGGUGCGAGCGUUAAUCGGAAUUACUGGGCGUAAAGCGCUCGUAGGCGGUAUGUCAAGUCAAGGGUGAAAUCCCCGCGCUCAACGUGGGAACUGCCUUUGAAACUUGCAAACGGGAGUGUUUGAGAGGAUAGUGGAAUUUCAGGGGUAGGAGUGAGAUCCGUAGAUAUCUGGAGGAACAUCAGUGGCGAAGGCGACUAUCUGGCACAUAACUGACGCUGAGGAGCGAAAGCGUGGGUAGCAAACAGGAUUAGAUACCCCGGUAGUC
rnacentral:rRNA from 1 species